GGAUGUGAGGGCAAUCUAGCCAAGACAUCUGUCACCCCACUGAUCGCCAGUGUUGAUGUGGCUGACAAUCAGACACCUGCCUAGCCAGCCAGAUGUCCCCUUCCUCCCUCACCACUUCAUGUGUGUCCCUCCCACAGCUGCAUGCUUGGUCAAAGAAGAUGACCUUCCCCGAUAGAGAAGGACCAUUCUUCAGUCAAAGGUAUUCAAGUAGCUUCAUGCCCCUGCUAGAACCUCCAAACAAGCUCUCAAGAAAGCACUACAAGGCAAAAAUCCACUCGAAUACCACAGUUCCUUUUCAUCUGAGGGGGAUACAUU
rnacentral:snRNA from 1 species